GUAGCUAAACUUAUGUACUCCCUGAGGGGUCUGAAAGGGUGGUCAGGUAUUAUAAGGAAAAGUCUAGAAAGGGGCAUUUCAAAGGAGUGUUUAUCUAGAUGCACAGAAACAAUGGACAGGGCUUGCUUAAGGCAAACACAAGACUUUUAGUAAAGUUGUUGCCUGGGGCGUCACUGCCCACGGGGACUUGCCCAGUUAAGACUUUAUAAUCAGAUCAACCUAUGAGGUCAUUUCCUGUAGAUACCUCCACCCCCCUUUUUUUCAUCCACAUCAUGAUUAGAUUGAGGUGAUGUGUCAUCACUUUUCAGUGCAUCAUAUCAAGGGAUGAAUGACGUUAACUUUGAUCACUUAAUGAAAAUGGUGUCUGCUGGGUGUCUCCACUAUAAGGUGACUGUUUUCCCCUUGUGAUUAAUAAAUAACUUAAAAGAGAUCAUUUGAAAUUGUACAAAUAUCCUGUUUCUCCUCAGACUUUGCCCAAUAAUUUCAGCAUCUGCCAGUGGGUCUUUCCCUCACCAAUUAUAACUGUAGUGUUCCAAUCUUAAUUUCUAAUUCCUUCUGCAUUUAUUACUUGAAAUUAUGAAAGGAAGCACUGUCGCUUCUCCUCCACACAUUUAUUUAUUAAAUUAUUGAUUUAUGUUAAUAUGAACUCAUAGAUAUUCACUUUAUUCUAUGGAUUCUAACCCCGCACUGUUAUUUAUUUUGUUAUUCCAAUGCUCCAGCUAUCCACUGGGAGGUUGACAUGGCUCAUCCUUUUUUGAACACUUCCUUAGUUCUGGCCCCAUGAGAUAAGAUACUCCAGGCUCAUCAUGAAUUUUCCCUCCUCCAGCCCUGUUUACUAUGGACUGGCAGAGUCAAAGGAGCUUUGUGUACAUUGUCAUCUUAAUUCUGAUCCUUAAUCCUUUUACUUUGUUAGAUAGGUAUGAUUUUCUCCAUUUUCAGAAGGAUAAACUGAGGCUUAAAGAAGUUAAGUACAUUAUUCCAUUCUCUCCAGCAAGAAUACUAGUUAGGGUCUCUUGGACUCCAAGGUUUAUGUUCUUUCUGCUGGGUAAAGAAUUAUUUCAGAAGUAAAACAUAAUGUAGGUAUUAUCCACUUCAGCUUCCUCCACCCCUUUUCAGAGAUGAGGAAACUGAGGCCACUAAAUGAAAGGAUCAAGAUUUCUUCAACACUCAGAAGUUGAUGGAAGAAAUGAAUGGAAAACCCUGAUCUUUCAGCACUCAGCCCAGUAUAUCUUUAUAUUCCACAGUUAGUGAUUCUUCUCAGGUGAUUUUCAUUGGUAAAACAACUAAAAAUUUCAAUUCAUUAUUGAAACUUCCUUUGCCUACCUUAUGAUCAAAUAUCAUUUUCCAUUGUGUUUGCCAGCAACCAUGAAUGGGAUUUUGAGCCUGUGUCAUUUUUAUCUGUCAAGAAAUACUGCAUCAAAGAAAGAAUUAAACAAUAGCCCCUCAUACUGCCCAUACUGAAAAUAAGUGACAUUACCACGUUAAUUCCAAAAUGAUCUCUUGUGCAAUAUAAAUUCAUUUGAAAAUGGUAUUUUCUGAAACAAAA